AACGAACGCUGGCGGCAGGCCUAACACAUGCAAGUCGAGCGGACCCUUCGGGGUUAGCGGCGGACGGGUGCGUAACGCGUGGGAAUAUGCCCUUCUCUACGGAAUAGUCCUGGGAAACUGGGGGUAAUACCGUAUACGCCCUUGGGGGGAAAGACUUAUCGGGGAAGGAUUAGCCCGCGUUGGAUUAGGUAGUGGGUGGGGUAAUGGCCUACCACGCCGACGAUCCAUAGCUGGAUUGAGAGGAUGAUCAGCCAGACUGGGACUGAGACACGACCCAGACGCCUGCGAGAGGCGGCAGUGGGGGAACUUAGGGAGUGGGGGCGACGCUGAACGGGCCAUGCCGGGUGGGUGGUGAACGCCUUAGGGUUGUAAAGCACUUUCAGCUGGGAAGAUAAUGACGGUACCAGCAGAAGAAGCCCCGGCUAACUCCGUG
rnacentral:rRNA from 1 species